AUGGAAAAAAAAUCAUUUUAAGACCAUGUCAAAAUUUUGUCUUGGUAUGCUCUUCCCAGGAAAUAGGAGGCUGCAGGAAACAAGUCACACAGAGCUGAGCUUCCAAAGGGUUGUCGAAGAAAUCCUAUAACAUUCUUGUGAGGAGAACUCUAGUGGGGUAUUAUAUAUACCGAUGAUUACAUUAACAAAUUAAACUGAAGUUAAGUCCUAUAAAAGUUCACCAUAUAUAAACCAGAAAUUGUAUUAUCCAUUCUAAAAAUACAAUUCACCAACGAACAUCUCUCCUGGAAUUCCAUCACACGGUGAAAGAUAGCUUUGAAUAAAGGAAUUUUAACUUCCGACGUUCAAAUUAAAGACACACACACACAUAUAUAUAUAUAUAUAUUACUCCCGUCAAAAAUAUUUUACAUUGGCGUCAUAUCUUGUUAGCUACUGGCAAACU
rnacentral:lncRNA from 1 species